CUCCGCACUUGGCUCUUUCACAAUUUCCGAGAGGUUUCGCGGCUGUUUGGAUUCGAGGAGGUUGAUUUUCUAGUGUUGGAGCCGGAGGCAUUGUACAUUAGAAAAGCCGGCGAGGAGAUUAGGGACCAGCUAUACUGUUUUGAAGAUCGGGGGAAUCGUCGAGUUGCAUUGAGGCCCGAGCUCACUCCUUCGUUGGCGAGGCUUGAG